AGUCUGUUACUCAAGCCCAGAGGAGCAGAGCACUAACAGGACAGCUGUGAGUCUACGUUUGGGUGAUCUGAGUCAGUUCCGAGUUGUGUUCAAGCUCAAACCACUGUGGCAGCUACAGGUAUGUUCACUGGAAGGUGCUUGUUGUGCUCCUGCUUUGAAUGAGCUCACUUUCUGGCUUCAGAAAGCAAAACAACCAAGAAGUUGCUCAAUUUCUACCUGAAGGUUUCUGAAAUAUUUACGCAAUUAAGUAUAUAAAUAUUGGCUAUCUUGGGCUCUAUCAAACCUUCCUUAUCCAAGUUCCAUUACUGUGAGCCAGGGCCUAGUCACAUUCAGCUUUGAUGCAGCAACACAACAAGUUUGUUUAUCCUGCAGCAUAUAUUGGACAGAAAUACAGAAAGUGGAAUAUCUGUAUCUCACUGGUUAUAAACAUGUUGAUGUAAAAGAAGGCCAUCCCACUGCAGGGUUAUUAAUCAUUCAUUCUUUGGCACCCAUAGCAGUGUUCUUGAUAAAUGCUGUACAAAUUCCAGAGCCGGAAUUUGGGUAAAACAGAAGAGCAUUUUUGGUGCUUAUUUGUGCUUCUGGUUUUAGUGCCGUACAAACAAGUCUAAAAAGAAGAAGAAUUUCAGCUCUCAGGACAAGGCCUCCCCACUCUACUUCCUAGGCUGAAAAACACACAUCCUCUUGCACUAACUUCUGUUUUGGAUUUAGUCCUAAACCAGUAUCACAAGGAGUUAGGCUAAACAAAGCGGCCUUUAGCAGAAAAACACUGGAGAAAGUGGAACAGUCAGUACUAGACACAAUGGAGAAUUACCAGUAAUUAC